rnacentral:lncRNA from 1 species
GGCAGAUCUCCCUUACAAUUUAUUUGUCUUCUCCCACGAAUAAUAACACCAUUCAUGUUACAUAUAAAGUGCAGAAUACAGACAAAAAAGGACAAGCAUCAAAUCGAUAUGAUACAUCUAUAUCAAUUAAUAAACACAAUUAUGCUCAUUCUAAAUAGUAUUAGGAAUAUUAGUUGAGAAUUAAAACCUCAUUUAUUUUAUGUUACAAAGGUAACAAUUAAAUAAAUACGAGGUAUUUAUUAGCAGUUAGUCUUAACUAAUAUUUUGUUAGCAAUAUUUUUAUCGUAAUUAACAUAAUCCUUAUUGGUACACUAUCGACAUUAUCAACUACUACUAUCACUGGUCAAACAACACAGACCAACGACCAAUCGGUUAUUAUAUAAGACCCGCGUUAAGUUCAAGAGGUCUCGAUGGUUUACAUAUAUAGCAGGAUAAAGAUAAA